rnacentral:tRNA from 1 species
GCCUUCGUGGUGUAAUGGUUAGCACUCUCGGUUUGUAUUCGAGAGGUCCGAGGUUCGAGUCCCGGCGAGGGCA